AAUUAAAAAUAUUAUCAGAGAUCAACCACACGUCCCCAAUUUUUUUAGUAGACUAACCUUACGCGAAAAGUGUAGUGGCUGCGAAAAAUUGAAAAUGACCGUGGUGUGUUAGAAGACGGACCGAAAGAAUAAACAAUUGUUUUCUUUAUCUGAAAUUGGAGAAUGGACACAGAGCUUUUUGAGGGAAGUUCAUCUAGUGAAUAUGUUAGCAGCAUUCCACAGGAUAUCAGAAAUCAGGAAUCAGAAACUGAACAAACCUCUGCUAUUGACAACACUGCAACUUUAGAAUCAGAUGUAUUUGAGCGUCUUUCAAAUAUGUAUGAGACUUUGAAGG